GACGAACGCUGGCGGCGUGCUUAACACAUGCAAGUCGAACGGUGAAGCCUUCGGGUGGAUCAGUGGCGAACGGGUGAGUAACACGUGAGCAAUCUGCCCUUGACUCUGGGAUAACUUCGGGAAACCGGAGCUAAUACCGGAUAUGACAUCUGGCCGCAUGGUCUGGGUGUGGAAAGAUUUAUCGGUCAAGGAUGAGCUCGCGGCCUAUCAGCUUGUUGGUGGGGAAUGGCCCACCAAGGCGACGACGGGUAGCUGGUCUGAGAGGACGAUCAGCCACACUGGGACUGAGACACGGCCCAGACUCCUACGGGAGGCAGCAGUAGGGAAUCUUGCGCAAUGGGGGAAACCCUGACGCAGCGACGCCGCGUGCGGGAUGAAGGCC
rnacentral:rRNA from 1 species